GAUGAAGAACGUAGCGAACGUGCGAAACGUAAUGUGAAUUGCAGAAUUCAGUGAAUCAUCGAAUCUUUGAACGCAUCUUGCGCUCCUUGGUAUUCCGAGGAGCAUGCCUGUUUGAGUGUCGUGAAUACUCUCAACUUCAACCCUUUUUUCGGAAAGGGAGGAAGGUUGGACUUGGGUGUUUGUUGAAGUGCGAGCUUCGACUCAUCCUAAAUGCAUUAGCGAUCUGCCUCGAUCACACACAAUGUGAUAAUUAAAACUAAAGCAUUGUUUAAUGAUCAAGUCGAGACUGCUUCUAACUGUCGCAAGACAAUAACGUGCAUACAUUUGUGCAUGUCAUUUGACCUCAAAUCAGGUAGGACUACCCGCUGAACUUAAGCAUAUCAAUAAGCGGAGGA
rnacentral:misc_RNA from 1 species